UACGUAGGGUGCAAGCGUUGUCCGGAAUUAUUGGGCGUAAAGAGCUCGUAGGCGGUUCGUCGCGUCGGCUGUGAAACCCGGAGCUCAACUCCGGGCCUGCAGUCGAUACGGGCGGACUUGAGUGUUGCAGGGGAGACUGGAAUUCCUGGUGUAGCGGUGAAAUGCGCAGAUAUCAGGAAGAACACCAAUGGCGAAGGCAGCUCUCUGGGACGGUACUGACGCUGAGACGCGAAAGCGUGGGGAGCGAACAGG
rnacentral:rRNA from 1 species